GGGCCCGGACCACGCUAGCCGCUGCCUAGCCCGGGCUCCCGGCAGGAGGGCGCCCGGGCCCAGUACCCGAGUGCCCCGGUCUCUAGAGGGCUACGGAGCGCGUCUGCCUCCAGGACCGGGUAUUUGACUGAGCAGCCUGCGAAGUAGAGCGCGGAAGGUCCGCAGUGGGUGCGGCGCGGCGCAGUCGGGGCUAGCCCACUUGCUCAGCGUAGCUUUUCUAGAGCGUCGGGGGUCUCGAGGGGCCGGGGUUGGACAGCAGCUGCGCGACUCCGAGGGACUCUUCUCUGCAGAUCCAGGCCCGCACCUAUCUGCAGAUGCCUUUAUCUCUUCCAGUGAUCCACAGACUUGAUGAAAUCAGUUCGGGCCUCAGAGAGAAGAUGAAUUGUAAGCAAAAUUCAAAAAUCACGAUUCUGGGGAAAAAGACCCCCAAAUCCAGAGCCCUGUAGUACCAGCCCUGCUAGUUCAACUGAAGGCUGCAGCAUGCCCUGAUCUAAACGGGAAAACACAACAAGGAAAAUAUCAGAAGCACAAGCCAGAGCUGUUGUCCUCCUUACUCAUCCACUCAUCCAUCAAGAUAAGUCAGCAUCGUCCCCAUUAUCCACUACUUCCUCCCAACCGCGCUUUCUAAACUGCUGAGGAUGGAAGAGAAAGCAGACUGGACUUGCAGUAUACAUUUCACACUCUCAUCCAACAAGCAACUUAGCCGCUGACACACUGCCAGCUGGUCCCAUCAAGUCAGGUGGCAUGGGUCACCCAACAAGCUGCCUGUUGGAAUAGCUGGCUGUUACAUAGCCUGUUAAGAACCAGGCGAACAAGACCACCAAAAUGUGGCAGCUGCUGUCCAGACAAGACACCUUCAGGCAGAGCUGGGUGCAGCCCGGUGACUCGUGCAGACAACAUCUGGGUUUUAGUUGGAAGACGGCCUCUGCAUUGGAUGAAGCUCUUCCCACAGACAAAAGUUGGAAACAAAGUCAGAAACAGAAAAUGAGAUUUAAAAAAAAACAAAACAAACCCAAGGCAAUCUUCUUUUGAAAGACUGCAGAUGCCCUGUGGAUGGCUACCUUCCUCUCUGUGAUGGACUGCACCCUUGAGCCAGCCCAAAGAAACACUUCUUUCCCUGAGUCACAUUCACCGGGCAUUUUUUCACAGCAAAGAGGAAAGUGACUAACACAAGUUGUUACCCCAUUUCUGCUAGAUCUGGGCUCCUUUCAUUAGUCAACAUGACAUGGAUUGAACACCCACUCUGCCCUACUACUGAUCUACAAUGAAGGUGCCGGAACAAGGAAGUUAUGGGAACAAGACAGAGUUGGUUCAAAGAGAUGAUCGACAACAGCGCAGACAUGAAUGAGCAGGAUAAUGCAUGAUGACAGCCCAGUGAAGACCAUAAAGCAGAGGAUCCGGGGGCCAAGGAGAAUAUGUCUGCCCUGUGGUCAGGGAGGUCAACUUUUGGGGAAGUAUUUAACAUUGUCCCUGAGGCCUGUGCUUUGAAUCUUCUUGGCCCAUUUCUUAAUAUCAUGGCUCUCAUGACUUGAUCUUAGUGCCUUUCCUCCGCCAUUUCAGCUGUAGGACCCCAGGAAGGCUUCUCAGAGCCUCCCACAGCAAGCCAUAUGCUAUCCUACUACUUAUAAACCCACACUCUAUAAUGGUCCUUCACUCUGGCACCUCAUUAUAGAAAGUAGGAUGAAGUUGGCACCGAGAAUGAUUCCUAUUUGCUUCAGCCACAGUAAUCUCUUCAUUUUCUAAGACUUCAGUUAUGUGUGUUCAAUCAUCAUGGGAAAAUAUUGAAAAGAAAAUUAUUAGAAAUAAGCAGUUUAUUAAUUUAAGUGACUUUUAUUAUAGCAUUUUGUUAUAUGGCUCUACUUUGUUAUUAGUUGUUGGUAAUCAUUUACUAUGCUUUAUAAAUUAUUUGUCAAUAUUAAUAUUUGUUUAUAGGAGAAAAGAGUGCAUAUAGGAUUUGAUGCUAUCUGGGUUUCAAGCAUUCACUGGGGGUCUGGGAAUGGAUCCUCUGAGAUAAAAGGGGCAUGUCUCUUUUAAUACGCAUAAGGUUUACACUGCAGUACUGCUAAGUUCACUUUACUAUUUGGGACUCUGCUGAAAUUAUCUCUUUGCAGAGGAAGAGUAUCUCACCACCCACAUCAGCUUCCUCCUUCACCCAGAACAGAUUCCCAGAAAAUAAAAGUUCCUAAGACUGUUCUAGAAAGUUCAGAGACACAGAUGAGAACUUUGCUCUUUAAUCAUGCUUCAGGAAUGCAGGUGUUAUCUGUACACACUAUUAUCAAUUGUCUUUGAGAUCGCUGGCUAGAGUAAGCUUGGUCAUGAUUUCUAAUCAUUAGAGAUAGGUUGGGAGUUUUCAAUUCAUUUAUUCUCUUUAUUGUAGCUAAUUGAAGAAUACGUUGCCUUUGGAUUCAAAUAGCCAUUACUGGUUCUCUUUGCCAAGCCCUAUGCAAGACAUAUCUCCUUGGGAUUUUGUGAUGGCUUAGUGCUCUGUGUCAGGGAUAGAGAGGUGAGGCUCAGGUGAAUUAAGGGCUAGCUCAAAGUCAAA
ensembl:lncRNA LOC103691652 uncharacterized LOC103691652